UGCAAAUGGGAUAAUUACAAUGAGGUC
rnacentral:piRNA from 1 species